GGUUGUGAGGUGGUCCGGCUGUGACAUCUGUCACCCUAUUGAUCUCCAGGGUUGAUUCGACUGAUCUGGCUGGCUAGGUGGGUGUCCCCUUCCUCCCUCACUGCUCCAUCAUACAUGUCCCUCCAGAAUCUGCAUGCUUGGUGGAAGUGGACGACUUUCCCUAAAGACAGGAGGACUGGUCUUCAGUCAAGGGUGUGCGUGUAGCUGCACUCCCCUGCUAGAACCUACAAACAAGCUCUCAAACUCCGCACCGAACCAUAUCCCCACCCCUUCACAUAAUUUCUAAUACAAGCUUCUGCUCUCCGGCUAGGGGUCACAGGAACUCAUUUGUUGUUA
rnacentral:sRNA from 1 species